rnacentral:rRNA from 1 species
AGCAGCCGCGGUAAUUCCAGCUCCAAUAGCGUAUAUUAAAGUUGUUGCAGUUAAAAAGCUCGUAGUUGAAUUUCGGGGUUCUACCGUUGGUCGGGCUAACCAGUCUGUACUAGCGUGUAGAAUUCCUACCUUCUGGAGAACCAUCAUGUUAUUAAUUUAGCGUGGUGGGAAACCAGGACCUUUACCUUGAAAAAAUUAGAGUGUUCAAAGCAGGCUUACGUCUGAAUACAUUAGCAUGGAAUAAUAGAAUAGGACGGUGGUCCUGUUUUGUUGGUUUCUGAAUCACCGUAAUGAUUAAUAGGGAUAGUUGGGGGCAUUAGUAUUCAAUUGUCAGAGGUGAAAUUCUUGGAUUUAUUGAAGACUAACUUCUGCGAAAGCAUUUGCCAAGGAUGUUUUCAUUAAUCAAGAACGAAAGUUAGGGGAUCGAAGACGAUCAGAUACCGUCGUAGUCUUAACCAUAAACUAUGCCGACUAGGGAUCGGACGAUGUUAAAUUUUAUUGACUCG